GCCAGACUCCUACGGGAGGCAGCAGUGGGGAAUAUUGCACAAUGGGGGAAACCCUGAUGCAGCGACGCCGCGUGAGUGAAGAAGUAUUUCGGCAUGUAAAGCUCUAUCAGCAGGGAAGAAAAUGACGGUACCUGACUAAGAAGCCCCGGCUAACUACGUGCCAGCAGCCGCGGUAAUACGUAGGGGGCAAGCGCUAUCCGGAUUUACUGGGUGUAAAGGGAGCGUAGACGGUGAUGCAAGUCAGAAGUGAAAGCCCGGGGCUCAACUCCGGGACUGCUUUUGAAACUGUGUAACUGGAGUGCAGGAGAGGUGAGCGGAAUUCCUGGUGUAGCGGUGAAAUGCGUAGAUAUCAGGAGGAACACCAGUGGCGAAGGCGGCUUACUGGACCGUAACUGACGUUGAGGCUCGAAAGCGUGGGGAGCAAACAGGAUUAGAUACCCUAGUA
rnacentral:rRNA from 1 species